rnacentral:misc_RNA from 1 species
UCCGGUUUGUCACCGGCAGUCUGGUGUGAGUCCCCAACUUAAUGCUGGCAACACACCACGGGGGUUGCGCUCGUUGCGGGACUUAACCCAACAUCUCACGACACGAGCUGACGACAACCAUGCACCACCUGUGCACGGCCCUUACGGACCCCACAUCUCUGCAGGAUUUCCCUGCAUGUCAAGCCUUGGUACGGUUCUUCGCGUUGCAUCGAAUUAAUCCGCAUGCUCCGCCGCUUGUGCGGGGCUCCGUCAAUUCCUUUGAGUUUUAGCCUUGCGGCCGUACUCCCCAGGCGGGGCGCUUAAUGCGUUUGCUGCGGCACAGAACUCGUGGAAUGAGCCCCACACCUAGCGCCCAACGUUUACGGCAUGGACUAC